UACGGAGGGGACUAGCGUUGUUCGGAAUUACUGGGCGUAAAGCGCACGUAGGCGGAUUUGUAAGUCAGGGGUGAAAUCCCGGGGCUCAAUCUCGGAACUGCCUUUGAUACUGCAAAUCUCGAGUCCGGAAGAGGUGAGUGGAAUUCCUAGUGUAGAGGUGAAAUUCGUAGAUAUUAGGAAGAACACCAGUGGCGAAGGCGGCUCACUGGUCCGGUACUGACGCUGAGGUGCGAAAGCGUGGGGAGCAAACAGG
rnacentral:rRNA from 1 species